rnacentral:rRNA from 1 species
UACGUAGGGGGCAAGCGUUGUCCGGAAUCAUUGGGCGUAAAGAGCGUGUAGGCGGCCAGAUAAGUCUGAUGUGAAAGCCCACGGCUCAACCGUGGAGGGUCAUUGGAAACUGGGGGACUUGAGUGCAGGAGAGAAGAGUGGAAUUCCACGUGUAGCGGUGAAAUGCGUAGAGAUGUGGAGGAACACCAGUGGCGAAGGCGACUCUUUGGCCUGUAACUGACGCUGAGGCGCGAAAGCGUGGGGAGCAAACAGG